UAGGGAAUCUUCGGCAAUGGACGAAAGUCUGACCGAGCAACGCCGCGUGAGUGAAGAAGGUUUUCGGAUCGUAAAACUCUGUUGUUAGAGAAGAACAAGGACGUUAGUAACUGAACGUCCCCUGACGGUAUCUAACCAGAAAGCCACGGCUAACUACGUGCCAGCAGCCGCGGUAAUACGUAGGUGGCAAGCGUUGUCCGGAUUUAUUGGGCGUAAAGCGAGCGCAGGCGGUUUCUUAAGUCGGAUGUGAAAGCCCCCGGCUCAACCGGGGAGGGUCAUUGGAAACUGGGGGACUUGAGUGCAGAAGAGGAGAGUGGAAUUCCAUGUGUAGCGGUGAAAUGCGUAGAUAUAUGGAGGAACACCAGUGGCGAAGGCGGCCCCCUGGACGAAGACUGACGCUCAGGUGCGAAAGCGUGGGGAGCAAACAGG
rnacentral:rRNA from 1 species